rnacentral:rRNA from 1 species
CAUGCAGUCGAACGCGAAAGAGGGGGCAGCCCCUCGAGUUAGAGUGGCGAACGGGUGAGUAACGCGUGAAGAACCUGCCUUCAAGAGGGGGAUAACACUCCCAACGGGGUGCUAAUACCGCAUGAGACCACGGGAUCGCAUGGUCCUGAGGUCAAAGGUGGCCUCUAUUUAUAAGCUACCGGUCGAAGAUGGCUUCGCGUCCCAUUAGCUUGUUGGUGGUGUAACGGACCACCAAGGCAACGAUGGGUAGCUGGUCUGAGAGGAUGGUCAGCCACACUGGGACUGAGAUACGGCCCAGACUCCUACGGGAGGCAGCAGUCGAGAGGCUUUGUCAAUGGGGGAAACCCUGAACAAGCGACGCCGCGUGGAGGAUGAAGGCCCUUGGGUUGUAAACUCCUUUUGUCGGGGAAGAAACACGAUCAGGUCAAUAUCCUGGUCGCUUGACGGUACCCGACGAAUAAGCUCCGGCUAACUCCGUGCCAGCAGCCGCGGUAAUACGGGGGGAGCAAGCGUUGUUCGGAAUUACUGGGCGUAAAGGGCGUGUAGGCGGCUAGAUAAGUGAGGUGUGAAAGGUCUCGGCUCACCCGAGGACGUGCAUCUCAUACUGUUUAGCUUGAGUAUGGGAGAGGAUGGGGGAAUUCCUGGUGUAGCGGUGAAAUGCGUAGAUAUCAGGAGGAACACCAGUGGCGAAGGCGCCCAUCUGGCCCAAUACUGACGCAGAGGCGCGAAAGCCAGGGGAGCAAACGGGAUUAGAUACCCGGUAGUCCUAGCCGUAAACGGUGAUCACUAGGUGUUGGAGGCAUUGACCCCUCCAGUGCCGCAGCUAACGCAUUAAGUGAUCCGCCUGGGGAGUACGGCCGCAAGGCUGAAACUCAAAGGAAUUGACGGGGGCCCGCACAAGCGGUGGAGCAUGUGGUUCAAUUCGACGCAACGCGAAGAACCUUACCCAGACUUGACAUGCUUAGGACCGGUGUGGAAACACACCUUCCCUUCGGGGCCUUUGCACAGGUGCUGCAUGGCUGUCGUCAGCUCGUGUCGUGAGAUGUUGGGUUAAGUCCCGCAACGAGCGCAACCCUUGUCCUUAGUUGCUAACGGGUAAUGCCGAGCACUCUAGGGAGACUGCCGGUGAUAAACCGGAGGAAGGUGGGGAUGACGUCAAGUCCUCAUGGCCCUUACGUCUGGGGCUACACACGUGCUACAAUGGCCGGUACAGAGGGUCCCGAUACCGCGAGGUGGAGGCAAUCCCAAAAAACCGGUCUCAGUUCGGAUUGCAGUCUGCAACUCGACUGCAUGAAGUCGGAAUCGCUAGUAAUCGCUGAUCAGCAGGCAGCGGUGAAUACGUUCCCGGGCCUUGUACACACCGCCCGUCAAGCCACGAAAGUUGGUAGUACCCGAAGUCGGUGUGCCAACCCGUAAGGGG